rnacentral:rRNA from 1 species
UGGGGAAUAUUGCACAAUGGGGGAAACCCUGAUGCAGCGACGCCGCGUGAGUGAAGAAGUAUUUCGGUAUGUAAAGCUCUAUCAGCAGGGAAGAAAAUGACGGUACCUGACUAAGAAGCCCCGGCUAACUACGUGCCAGCAGCCGCGGUAAUACGUAGGGGGCAAGCGUUAUCCGGAUUUACUGGGUGUAAAGGGAGCGUAGGUGGCAUGGUAAGCCAGAAGUGAAAACCCAGGGCUCAACUCUGUGGAUUGCUUUUGGAACUAUCAAGCUAGAGUGCUGGAGGGGUAAGCGGAAUUCCUAGUGUAGCGGUGAAAUGCGUAGAUAUUAGGAGGAACACCGGUGGCGAAGGCGGCUUACUGGACAGAAACUGACACUGAGGCUCGAAAGCGUGGGGAGCAAACAGG